ensembl:lncRNA
GAGAGAGAGAGAGAGAGAGAGAGAGAGAGAGAGAGAGAGAGAGAGAGAGGAGAGAGAGGGGGAGAGCGAAUAGCGCGAGAGAGAGAGAGAGAUGGUAGAGCUUUCAGCCUAGCACACACCAACAGUGUUGUAACAUCACAUUGAUGUUUGAACAAGGUCUCAGGUGUGUCAGUCCCUCGAUUCAGUGUUUCUGAUCUGAGUUUAAAAAAUGACCUUUAAACAGUACAUUGUACUUCUUCCCCCCCAGCCAUUGAUAUUCAUAUUCAUUUGAAUGUGUGCACAAACACAAUCCCCAGACACUUAAACCACAUGGUGGGGUGGGGAUUUCAUAACCAACAGGAGAGCCUGUAAUGUCUUAAACAUCGGGUUGAGUUCUAAUGUCAUUAGCCUUGGGUGGAGUUGUGAUUUCAUCACCUACGGGUGGGGUUAUGAUGCCAUUGCCCAUAGCUGGAGUUCGAUUGUUCCAAACCUAAAUGUUUUAACAGUAAAACUAUGUUCUGUUUAUUCUGAGCGAGUCAGUUACUUUGUGCUGAUCUAAAGUUGUGUAUUUACAUUGCGAUUGAUUGAUUGGCCUGAGGUGUAUUUUGUCAGCCCUUUCGCACGUUUGCAAACGUAACGGCCACUCAAGCUAGCUUUUCACAUUAUAUGCAUGAAUCCAACGAAAGCUUUCUCUGUAUAUUAUUGUAUAUUUUUCAUCAUUUUACGUUUCAUGUAUGUUACCAAAAGUGUUUCUAUGUUUUUCUAUGUUCUGGUUCUAACAGGAAGUCCCUCCAAAUAUGCUUUUAGUUGUAGUUUAGCAAAAUGUGCCACUUUAUAGCGCCAGUUACUGAAAAUAACCAAAUCACUAGAGGAAACAACUAACCUGCAAAUGAGGACACUGUUGCUAAGUGACCAAAUUAUACAGGAUAUGACGACUGGUUAGUACUACUGUUGGCUAUUACUUCUCUAAGUAAGCUAGUAGUACGAACUGUUGGCUGGUAAUACUAAUGGUUAGUAGUACUAUUGGCUAGUAGGACGGUUGCCUAUUUGUUCUAUUGGCUAGUAGUAUUAUCGGCUAGCACUUUUGUAAUGUUAGUACUACUUGCAUUAGUAUAUCUGUCAGGUAGUAGUGCUCAUUUCUCUAUGUAUUAGCGGCUCUUGUCGCAAACAUGUGUAGCCUUCAGCUUCCAAUGCAAUCUGUUUAUACGUACCUUAUAGAUUAUAUUUGAUAGAUUAUAUUUGAUAGAUUGCUGAUCUAUCUGAUCAUGUUCAGCAUUGAGUCAUUGGUCUCCAUGGUCUAGAUUCAGAGAGAGAUUGAGAUAAUGUAGCCUAGAUGUAAAGGAAAUAGAUAUUCUAGAUUUUCUGUACAAAAGAAAGCUCUGCAACAGGAGUAAUCACAUAAAACACCUAGCACUGAGUAUAAUAGUACUAUUAGUUUUACUACUUCUGGUAUAAUAGAUACUAGACAGAUCUACUGUGCAGGCUAUGUGUAUAUAUGUAUGUAUAUAUGUAUAUAUAUGUAUACAUAUAUCUAUAUAUAUAUGUAUGCUGCACCAUGAUGCAAAGUGUUAUAAAAAACAUCUCACUCCACGUUACCUCAUUGCAUAUAAAGUAUAAAUCACAUAAUUCACAUUAAUAACAGCAUUGUUGCCUAUAUUUCACCUAUAAAAGACGCUUAUAUGCUUUUUAAUCUAUCAUUAUGUAGGGUUUUCUUAUUCGCAUCAGUGUGUGAUUGUAUGAAUAUAUCAUGUCGUGUAGUGUUUUGUACUUUUUAAUCAGUGUUUGUAUGAUUAUAUCAUGUGCAUGGGGGUCCUGUCCCUUCAACACAUAUUGCGUAAAUCCUUUUUGGGAGUAGAACUCUGAGAACACUUGGAUUUACUCCCAUAUGUAAAUACUACUUUGUUUGUAUCACAAUAAGCUGUUUUUCUCUUCUGUACUUGUGUCUUUGAAAUAAAUACUAUUUUAUCACAACACAACAUAAAUACGAUGUAAUACCACUACAGAUAUAAUCUAAAAAUACAACUUUUUCACAGUUCUAUCACAACAGCGAUAUUCAAAAGGUAUUUUAUCACAACUAUAAUUCAGUUAAACAUGGUUGACUACAACCGUGUUGAAAGAGGCAGGCAUGUCAAUAUUGAACAGAGAGCAGAAGAACAGAACACUGCAGACCGAAACAAGACUAAG